GACGAUGGAGAGUUUGAUCCUGGCUCAGGAUGAACGCUGGCGGCGUGCCUAAUACAUGCAAGUCGGACGGAGCGCUUCGGCGCUCAGUGGCGAACGGGUGAGUAGCACAUGGGCAACCUGCCCUUCAGAGGGGGACAACAGCUGGAAACGGCUGCUAAGACCGCAUAGGCGCGGACGGGACAUCCCGUCCACGUUAAACGUCCUUUCGGGGACGGCUGAAGGAUGGGCCUGUGGCGCAUUA
rnacentral:rRNA from 1 species